CUCGUUGAACACCAGCGCUGGCCGCAUGGCUAGCUAAACACAUAAAGAAGCCAAAAUAGUGUAACUAUCCGAUUACUAAAACCCACGCAAGUUCAUAAUUUACUAUUUGUAAACAGUCAUAACUCCAGCAGGCGAUUUUUUAAAACGAGAUGUACAUGUGUUAUAUCGGUACAUGUAUAUCUGGUGAACUGAUAAAUCCUACGUAACUAUCGAUCGAUAGAGAUAAAUUUCGAUACAAGUGAUAAGUUUUAUCCUGUUUAAAUUGUAACGACGGUCAAUGCGAUUCAGUCGUGGACAAAGAGUUGACUCGAAAUCAGUGUGCAUAGUCGUUUAUAAUAAAACAACAAAAUGUGUUGCGUGUGUAGUUUGAUCUGCAAGAUCCUCAGUUUGAUAGUAUCCUUGCUGUUCAUCGUGGCAGUGGUGCUUCUCAUCCUGUGGGGAACUGGAAUUUUAUUCGGAAAAGAUGAGCCCGCAUCCACCGAAGAUGCCACCAACAAACUCCAGCAACUAAUGUACAACAAUCAUCCAAAACUACUAUAGUUAUAAUACCGACCUUCUUACCUCAUCACAAGAACUAUUUUCCUACUUAAACCUAUCACUAUAUUAAACCUGGCUAUAAAUAUAAUCUAUGCUUUUACAAACACACUUUCAUUCCUUCUCAAUUUGUAGACCUUAAUGUAAAUACUAUGUAUAAGUAUGAAGUAUUCUAGUUAUAAGUUAUUUUAUUUUUUAUUAUUUAUUUGUUAUAAUCACCGUCGUUAGUUAUAAAUAUAUUCUUAUAUAUUUUGUAACUAGCGUUUAUUUUUAUAUAAGUAUUAAAAAGGUGAAUAUUAUAAUAAUAAGUCUAAAACACUCAGUCUUCAAAUUGUGUACACAAUUAUAGCAGUAAGGUCGUUGACUUGGCUAAUCACUGAAGUUUGUAUGUUCACCUGUACGCAGUUACCUUGACUGGUGAAUUUGUUAAAAUAUUUUUCAUAAUAUGCCACUAAACCUAAAACGUAUCUACGAUUAAGGAGCAACGACCCUACGAAUACAAGAAUUGAUUGAUUUUAUUUAAUACAUAUUGUAUCCAGCCAGUCAAGAUAAACGGGUCUGUGUUAUGUCUGCGUGUGCUUUUAUACGUCAAAAUAAUGACUCAAUAAAAAGUACAAAUUAAUUUA